UUCCCUUGUUCUUAACUUCAGAGACCAACACCAAUUACCCUGAACCCUAAAUCAUUUCCCCCUUUGACCUCCGCCCCCAUUUCCCAAACCUCUCUCUUUUCUCUCAAACCUUCAACCUCCAUCAGUCCCAAAUCCUUGCACAAAUAUGUGCAAGGUCACAUAAUUAAACCUCAUAACACUCAACAUGUCACUUACACCCAUGAAUCUCGCCGGAUUAUAUCCAUUUUCACCACUAGAUUUGAAAUUUCCAAUUCUGGAACCCUAAGCUCAAAAACACUAAUAGUCUGAUUUCUUCUUAGUUCUUUCAAAUCAAGCAUUCAUGGCCAUCCAUCUUGUCCCUGUACAGAGAAUCAUGCUAUUUUCUUUUCAUUUCCACCGAUGAAUUCAAAAUCCCUAAUUCUGAAACCGUAGAUCAAAAGGUGAAACCUAAAAUCAUCUGGUUUCUCUUUUGUUCUUUCAAAUCGGAGCAUGCAUGGAGCUCUUGCAGAGUUUCAUCAUGAGGAUUCGUUACCCAGAGGUCAAACGCAGUGACCUAUAGGUUUUAGAGUUUACCCGAUGGGUCUUCGCCUUCAACGGUCGACCUCUCCUCUCAGGUAAAAUUUAUCACUACGGAUGUUGCUUUAAGUUGAAUGAUCUACGUGUGGUUAAUAAAGAACCGUUAAUGAUUCCACACACCUGUUUUGACCUUAUACUUCUAUAAUGAUUUUGCUAUGACUCUUGUGUUUGUUCUAUUGAUCUUUAUCUUAGUGAUUAUUUGUUGAUAUGUAUUAUACACCUGAAGUUGCUUGCCUAACAGGCUUAGCUAUAGCAAUUAUGAACACUUAAGGGCAAAUAUAAGGCUGUCAUCACAGAUUUAAGUAUAUUAGCUUAUGUUAUUUUGAGUUGACCUUUUCCUUCUAAUGUGACUCUGUGAUUCUGUAACUCUUGAAAGGUCAUUGUAAUGAUUUUCUGUCAAUCUUCAUGAAUGUGUGAUCACAUCUAGAAUUUCAUUAUAUGAAUAUGUUCUGAAUCAACUGGAUUAAAUCCUACUAAGUUUCUGCACUUGUUCUUGUGUGUAUUCUGACAGUUGUUAUUCACUUAGUUUAAGCUAUCCCCUAGGAAUUUGAUUAAGUUGUAUUUGUGGUGUUUAUGUUUCAUCUGUUAUAUUAGGAUGCUAGGCUGACCCAGAUCAUGACUAAUGUUUACACCUAACUUGUAUAAUUGAAACAUGCUUACUCAAUGCGAAACAGUCUAUUAUUCUGACCUCCUGAAAUUAGUCUGUUGGUCUGAUCCCCAUGGUAUUUGAUACUCCACCCUGUUGUAGUCUUGUACAUUCUAAAGAAUGUCUCAUGUGUGUGUCUGUACAUCUUCUCUUUGGCUUUCUAUACUCUAUUAUGUCCUUACACAAAACAACAUGCUUAUCUCUCACACUCAUGCGUAUGUUCUCAUGCUGCACUGUCACAUAAGGGAAACUGAACCUUGCUAAGCCUCUAUAAGUUGGAUGUGACUGACUAAUAGACUUAAGAUGAACCUUCUGAUGUUAUCUAUCUUGCUUGAGUAUAAUAUUAUGUCACUCUUAAUGAACCUAGUGUGAAUAUAAGGUUAGGAACCUUUUAAGUAGAGAGUGAUCAUCUGUUAGGUUGAGACCAACUUGCUUGCUUAAGUACCCCUACUAGUGCUCUUUAGAGAUUUCAUAUGAAGCUGUUAACUCAUACAUCCAUUAGAAAUUGAGACUUAGUCUAUGUAUGAAGCCCUGAUUAACUUAAACAUAGGCUGUUAAGGUUGAGGAUCUCUAUAAACUUGAACUAUGUAUCUCCUCUACCUCUUACGCUAUAUGACUUAAUUAUUUGAACUUUUGAAAUAUCCUGCUGGUGUUCUCUUCGCUUAGUCGCACCUGUAAUUGGUUUCUCUGAGUAUUCUUCUGCAUAUUGGUAGUUCUUAACAGUGAACUACACACUGAUGUUUGGAUUGUGAUCUCCUUGGUGUUAUUUGUUAUCGCAUGUUCAUAGUAACAUUUUGAACAAUUCUUGUAAGAAGAGUACAUGUCUAAAUCUAUGUAUUGUUGUUACAGUUAUAUUGAAACUUACAAUGAAUACCUCAUUGGUAUUUAAACCUAUAGGGAGUAGUAAGUGUGAGUGUUUAGGGGUAUUUAGGAGUGAGAUUUAAUUUGUGGUUGAGAUACUCUCCCACUGCUAGGAGUCCUUGAGACCCUUGUGAACUUUGAAGUGCUAGGGAUCCAAAGAUUGUCUUGGCUAUGAAUGGAAUUUCACCUUAAGCCCUUAAUCAUUGACAUUUGUUAAUCUCUUUAGGGUUAGUGUCAGAUGAAAGAAAAGGCUUCACUGUAAUUUUCUUUACUCUAUUUGACCUUACACAGUUUUAUUUGCAUUCCUACUUACUAAUGUUUGUUACAGUUCUGUUGGGCCUUACAUUGAUAUCAUUUUUGUAUAAGUAUCAUGUUGGGACAUAUGUCUAAUGUAGUUCUUUCCUUUUUUUAACAUGUGACCAAACUGGGAAUGCUGAGUUCUCAAAGAACUCAGGCCCAAGUUCUAGCUCGAGUUGGAGUCGUUGAAGCUUCUGUCGCUUGUUUGAUGUUCGCUGGGUCUAACCUUCUUUAGGCCCAAACCUAUGAGUCCAUUCCCUCCCUUUAUCACUUUAUAUGAUCUGUUAUUAUUUUUAUGUAUGUGACACUCAUAAUAUUUGAGUGAAUAUUUUCUCUUAUCACUUUGAAUUACCUUAGGAAAUCUAGGCAAGCCCAAAAAUCAUAGGUAAAUUAAAAGAAGUAUUAUCUCUUACAUUAGCUAAAUAACCUCACAUGCUUAGUUAUUUUACUAUACAAUUUUUUUCAACUUUUUUACUUACACUAACUAUUUCUCAUGAAGCUCAUAAAGGUUAAAACAGAUUUAGAAAGGCAAGCAACUCUCUUUCUUUUAAAAGGCCAAAAUUGGAAAGUGAUUUCAAGGGCAGUUUUCUACUAACCAAAGUCGCGGUUAGAGGACACCUCAAACGAUCUUUCUAAACUUGGGUAUAAUAUUUAAAUCAAUCUUAAGGUAUAUCUAAAUCCUUUUUUUUAAAUAACCCAUGCUUUGCUAACGCCCUACAAAUAACCGUUCUUAUUUCAAAGGAGAAGCCUUUCAAACUUAGCCACUAUUUAGCAAAAUUUGCAAACAUAAACAUCUUGGAAAUACCUUUUAAAGUUCUUUCACUCAUAUAGCUAUAUACAUUUUAGAUUUUAUAAAAAUCUAUACUCCUUUCAAAUGCAUAUACUAUCUUUCAAAAGUGAUAAUUUCAGGCAUAAACAUAAGGUAAGUCACACACUUUUAAGUACUAAGUAAGAUAUACAUAUUUAAUUUCCCGAACCUAGUCUAAGUCCUAUGGAGCUACCUUAGGUAGAUUCUAGGGGGCGCCUAAUACCUUUCCCUUAGAAGAACAAAAAUCCUUACCCAAAAUCUCACUGGUUAGUAAACUAAUAGGAUAAUAAUUUAAUAGCUAAAACAGGUACCCUAGUAUACCUUUAAAUAUCAGGUGGCGACUCUCUUUUAUCAUCAACAGGGAAAUCACUAGUUGAAUCUUAUUUUUACUUAUGCAAAAUAGGGUGCAACAUUAUUAACAAGCCUCUGAUAAGUGGCUCCGGUGUUUUUAAGCCCAAAAGACAUCACAUUAUAGCAAUAUGUGCCAAAUUUUGUGAUGAAAGACGUCUUCUCUUGAUCUUCCGAGUUCAUCCUAAUUUGAUUAUACCCGAAAUAAGCAUCAAGAAAACUCAUUAACUCGUGUCUGAUCGUAGCAUCGAUCAUUUGAUCAAUAUUUGGCAAUGGAAAGAGUCUUUGGGGCAUGUAUUAUUUAAAUCCUUAUACUCUACACACAUCCUAAAUUUAUUAUUCUUUUUAGGCACUAGUACUAUGUUAGCUAGCCACUCCAGGUACUUUACCUCUCGAAUUGAAUCGAUAUUGAGCAAUCGAGUUACCUCUUCCUUAACAAACCUAUUUCUGACCUCUGCUAUCGGUCAUUUCUUCUGCCUUACCGAAGGGAAUUUUGGAUCCAGACUCAGUUUGUUGACUGCCACAUCCAACAGAAUACCUGUCAUAUCUGAAUACGACCAAGAAAAGUAAUCAACAUUAGAUUUAAGAAAAUCUAUGAGUUUUAACCUGAGUUCGGGACUCAAAUCCAUUCUUAAAUGGAACUCCCUUUCCAAAUAUUCUUUAAACAAAGCCACUUAUUCGAGUUCUUCUGCAGUGAAUUUGUUCGCAUCCGUCUCCUCCGGUACCUGGAAAGUUCUCGGUACCUGAUAUAAUUCUGAUGACUCCUCAUAUUUAUCAUCUUCGAUCUGGAUGUGUGGAGGCACCGAUUCCUGUAAAUGUUAUUUGCUGGUUUCCUUACCUUUGCUACUGGAAACGGUUACUGCAUUAAUCUCCCUUGCAGCUGAUUGAUCUCCUCUGAUCUACUUGACCCCUUCCGAUGUUGGAAACUUUAACAGUUGAUGGUAGGUCGAUGGUACGACCUUCAUUUCAUGUAUCCAAGGCUUUCCGAGGAUCACGUUAUAGCCCAUGUCGCCAUCUACCACUUCAAAUAGGGUGGUCUUUGUUACUUUUCACGACCCAAAAUCUAACUAGUCAUGAUGGAACCUAACCCAACCCGCUAGGUAGGCCAAUUAGCAACAAUCCGAUUCAAAUGAGAAUAACUGAGAAAAACAAAUGAUGAAAUAACUGAGCUUUUAUACGAAAUCCCAAGGAUUAGUAGUACAUCUCAUGAGCUUCUAAGACGUAGAGUUUACAAAGCUGGUAUGAAAUAAAUACAUCAUCUUUUCGAAAUAUACAUAAACAAAUUUAUACAUCUAAAGCUACCAAGAACAAGAGGAAGCUAUAACCGGAAUGCAAGUACAUCUCCAAUGCCUAAUCCCACCAUACGCAGCAACAUCAGCUCCGAAAUCUGCACGCAAGGUGAAGAAGUAUAGUAUGAGUACAACCGACCCCAUAUACUCAAUAAGUAACAAACCUAACCUUAGGUUGAAAGUAGUGACGAGAUAGGACAAAUGGUCAGAGUCCAACACCAAUAGCCAAGAAGAACUCGUAACAAUAUAAUGAAAACAGUACAAGUAAUAACUCAAGAUAUGAUGCUUAGCUCGCUCACAGUUACGAAAAAAUAGGAAUGCUUUUCAGGUAUAACAGUAAAACCCCAAAUCUUUCAUCGAGAUCACCAAAAUAGGAGUAUAUCAGAAAACUGUUAUUUUUCACACAAAUAAAAAAUAUUCAACAACAAAUAAGAUAUUUCAUUAUCAGAUAGCAUGAUGAAAGUACAUCUCUAUGCCUACAUGUCGUUGUGCAUGAGAAGUCAUGAAUGUCACAAUACCGUAUAGCAUGAGAAAAUGCAUCUCUAUGCCUACAUGCCAAGAUGCAUGUCAAAUGUAAUGCAUCACAGUGAUAAACUCAUGUACUCACACUCUCAAAGUACUCAAUCUCACUGUCUCACGCUCAAUCACUCGGCACACUCAAUCACUGGGUAUACUUAAUCACUCAGCACACUCAAUCACUUGGCAAUCGGUCACUCGGCACUCGGUACCAGCACUCACUGAUGGUAUGUCAGACUCCGGAGGGGUGGAUCCUACCCAAGUGCUAAUAUAAAGCCAAUCUGGCUGUUACACCCCAUGUUUUUCGUACGUGGAAGUAAGCCAUAAGUAAAUUGAUAUAAGCUCGGAAAUGAGAUGUUACAUUCCGCAUUUUUGUAUGUAAAAGUUUCGUCGUAAGCUAAUCGACGUAAAUUCGGGAAUGAGAUUAUUUUGGGAUUAUAAGUAUUACGCUAUUUCAAAGAAGUGAUAAGUAAAUUCGUGAAGGUGAGGGGGUAAGCAAAUCGAAGAAGAUGAGUUUCGUCGAAGUUUGACAUUUUGGGAUAAAAUACAGUCCAAGCUAUAAUACCCAAUAUUUAUGGACUAGUACCAUACAAGGUACCACAUGACCAUAGGUGUACAAAGUGUGUUCAAAGUAAAUAGUAUUCUAAGUAAUUUGAGAUUAUUUUUAAUUAUGUGGAUAAUUGGACAAUUAUUUAUUAAUGAGAAAUUAACCAAUUAAUUAAGGAAAUAAGUGGGCAAUUAUUGGAUAAGGAUUUAGUCUUUAAUGUGGCAGCCCACAAAGUCACAAAAAUGUGACUCUUAAAGCUCACCUUUAUGUGGAAUAUUAAGAAUAAUAGUGGCUUAGUCAUACAAAGAGUGGGGCCACUCUCUUUAGUAAAAACUUCUAACAUAAACCAUUAAAAUACAUGUUAUAUUUGCAAUUUGAGGAGAUUGGCAAUUCAAGCCACCAGUAUGCUAAAGUUAGUCCUCCUAGGGGCGGCAAUAUAGAUUACUUACAUCCUAAAGGUGGGCCAAGAGAUACUAGUGAUUAUGGUCAUUCAUAUGAAAGGACUAGUUUGCUUGAACAUGCAGUACUUGACAAAAGGCAUGCUCGGGCACCUAUUCUUUUGGAACCCCUUAGAGAGAAUAUUGUUGAUGCCGAGUUUCCUCGAAGAGAUGUCAUUGACAGCAGUUCAUGGGAUCACCAUUCAUUCAAUAAACAGUCAGUUUGAAAGAACUUUCUUGGUUGAAAGCAAACGGAUGAAGCUUCAAAUAUGUAUUUGCAAUUCUAAGAGAUUUGCAACGAAGAUAUACUGUGUAAUCGUAACGGGAUUUUGCGAUUCUAAGAAAGCACGGUACAACCUUUUCCAAGAAUAUCAUACAGAUUUAUUUCUACUCCAGGUAUGUUAAGGCUAUUCCUUCUUUCUUUUGGCAUGAUCUAUACGACACAAACGAAACGAGCAAAUACACAACUUUCAUAAAUGACUCUAUUCAUAGAAAUACUAGGGGUGUCUAUAUUCUCGAUUUCCCAUGUGAAUUAUUAUUAUAUCUUUUGUUCAUGGGUCUCAGAAAAAUAUGUAUUUGAUAAAGUCUAUCCGACAGGCAUAUUAUUUUUAUGACAUUCCGAGAAAUCUUAUUAAUGUAUUUCAUAUGCAUUUCAUUCAUUUAUACAUGUAAAGUGACCCAUGACCAGAUGGCGUUAUAUAUGCGUAUAUUAUAUGUAUAUGGGAUAUGGAAAAAGGUUACGUCGUUAUAUACGCACCACCACUUGAUCAGCUGGUAUACGUUGAUGAUUUUGCCCACAAUGGCCGAGCUGAUAUGAUGGAAUGCCCUCAUAUCAUGUACAUGUACCUAUGCACGAUAUGACAUUCAUACGCAUACGCAUGACACUAUGAGUAUUUCAUGAUUUACAGAGUUAUUCAGACUUACAUGUCGAGUCUUUUACUCCAUGUUUCUCUCAUGUCUAUUAUUUACUGAUUUUCAUUCCUUACAUACUUGGUACAUUAUUUGUACUGACGUUCCUUUUUUCUGGGGGCGCUAUAUUUCAUGUCCGCAGGUCCCGAUAGACAGGUCGAGAGUCCUCUAAGCAGGCUAUCAGCUCAGCGAAAUAUGUUGGUGCGCUCUAUUUGCUCCGGAGUUGCUUAUUUGGUCAGUACGAUUUAGACAUGUAUUGAUUAGUAUGUCGGGGCCCUAUCUCGGCCUUAUAACAUUUAUGUACUCUUAGAGGCUUGUAGACAUAUGCCAUGUAUAUGAAAGAUUGUAUGGCCUUGUCGGCCUAUGUUCAGUAUACGAGUGAUUAUUUUGGCAUUAUAGGCCCGUACGUCAUAUGUAUAAGUCAGUAUAUCAGGUUGGGUCGUGUUAUGUCGAGUGUUCCCUCAUGUUUUAUUCUUGUUACCUCAUAUGACCCUUUUGGCCCAUUUACCCAUGUUGAUGUGAUGAGAAAGAUACGUUGCGUUGGUACUCGGUUGAGUAAGUGUCACGCCCCAACCUCGGGGAGCGCGACCGGCGCUCAACCGAGUGAACUCGGUCGAGCAAGCCUAUUAAACCUUUGCUACCCGACUCAUUCAUAAUCCAAAAAGGGAACGCAUCACCAUUUGUAAAACAGGGG
rnacentral:lncRNA from 1 species